AGAGAGACAAGAGCACAGAAAUAACCCUGUUUUAUCACACCCAUCUGGAGAGAUGAACAUGCCAGCACUCACUGGGAGAAAGACAGGGAUUGAGAAACGGAAAUACCACCACCGUCCAGCCAAACCUGUGAGGACUGAUUGCAGGGGAACUGGUGCUCCAGAUGUUGCACUAGAGGCGCUGCGAGUGUGAGCAGGUGACAGUUGGCCUCCAUUAUGAGUUGUAGCAGAUGUUCUCAACAUUUCUUUUGAAACUUCCUUAUAUUUCCUUGAAUGAGGAGCCCCAGAGCCUCAUCCCUGUGGUAGCUACCAUGCUUUGAUGUAAGCUGCUGUUCACCAGGGAGGUUUGACAAGAGAAUUGGCCACAUGAGCAAGUUCAUCUCCAUUGUGGAAAAACAACUUGAAUCUCAUCUCUGUUGAAGACAGAGAUUACAAGUCGGCAGAGAGACAGG